rnacentral:rRNA from 1 species
UACAGAGGUCCCAAGCGUUGUUCGGAUUCAUUGGGCGUAAAGGGUGCGUAGGCGGCGCGGUAAGUCGGGUGUGAAAUCUCGGGGCUUAACUCCGAAACUGCAUUCGAUACUGCCGUGCUUGAGGACUGGAGAGGAGACUGGAAUUACGGUGUAGCGGUGAAAUGCGUAGAUAUCGUAAGGAAGACCAGUGGCGAAGGCGGGUCUCCUGGACAGUUCCUGACGCUGAGGCACGAAGGUCAGGGGAGCAAACGGG